rnacentral:misc_RNA from 1 species
GCCCUGCGCUCCUUCCUUUUCCUUUCCUCCUUCCUUUCCUCCUCUCCUCUUUUCCCUCACAUUGCGCCCUCUGGUAUUCCGGGGGGCAUGCCUGUCCGAGCGUCAUUGCGAACCCCUCAAGCCCGUCUUGUGUGAUGGGCCUCUCGCGUCCUGGGAUCCCCCGGGACGGGUCCGAAUAGCAGUGGUGGCGACGCGGUUUAUCCGAUCAGCCAGAGCGUAUGGGGACUCUCCGUCACACGUCUCGCGGCGCGGACCGACGUCUGCCUAUUGAUCAAUCUUUUCUCGGUUGACCUCGGAUCAGGUAGGGAUACCCGCUGAACUUAAGC